CUGCGAAGGAUCAUUAAAAAAUUGGUGACUGUAAUUAGGUUAACCAUUAAUAAUAUCCUACCCUUUGUGAAUUUGUUUGUUAUGUAGAAUUUUUUGUCUAUCCCUAAGAAAGGUUGGAUAAGUGUAAUAGCUUAAAAAACUUUUUUUUAGGGAUGGCUUAAAGACUUUUAUUUAAAAUUAAAAUUUUGUAUUCAUUUGUCUAAAAUUUAAUUUUAAAUAAAUAAUUUAAAAAAACUUUUGACAAUGGAUCUCUUUGGUUCUCGCAACGAUGAAGAACGCAGCAAAAUGCGAUAUAGUAAUGUGAAUUGCAGAAUACGUGAAUCAUCAAAUCUUCGAACGCAUAUUGCACUUUUUUAGUUUACUAAAAAAGUAUGUCUGUUGGAGUAUCAGUAAAAUAUCUCAUAAAAUCAUUUGAUUUAUGGUUAUGAGUGUUUUACAACGAUAAACAAGUUGUUUCACUUUAAAUGGAUUUUAAUUGAAAUCGUCGGUUGGGAACGAUUUUAAUUUUUUUAAAAAAUUGGAUAAAAUUUCCCGUAAAAAGGAAUAAAGCUAUUUCAGUUUUUUAGAAAUUUAAUAGUUCCAUACCGGUACAGCUAAAGGAAAUUUAUUUAUAAAUAACUUGAUCUCAAAUCAGAUAAGAGUACCCGCUGAACUUAAGCAUAUCAAUAAGCGGAGGAAAAGAAACUAACAAGGAUUCCCUUAGUAACGGCGAGUGAAGCGGGAAGAGCUCAAAUUUGAAUCUUCAAGUUCUACCUUGACGAAUUGUAGUUUAAAGAAGUGUUUUCUGUUAGAGGGAGUGGCAAAAGUUCUUUGGAAUAGGACAUCAUAGAGGGUGAGAUCCCGUAUUUGGUCAUUUCUUUCUAGCUGUGUGAUACACUUUCAAAGAGUCGGAUUGUUUGGGAAUGCAGUCCAAAAUGGGUGGUAAAUUUCAUCUAAAGCUAAAUAUUGGCGAGAGACCGAUAGCGAACAAGUACCGUGAGGGAAAGAUGAAAAGAACUUUGAAAGAGAGUUAAACAGUACGUGAAAUUGUCAAAGGGAAGCGUUUGACACCAGUGUUGUUUUUCCGAAAAUCAAUUGUGCCUGGCUGGAUUUUGUAGGAGUUUGACCUUAUCAGCUUCUUCUGCUUUUUCCGUCUGGUGCAAUGCCUUUUCGGGUUAACAAGUCAACAUCAAUUUCUUUUGUUGUAAAAGGGUAAUUGGAAGUGGCUUUCUUUCGGAGAAAGUGUUUAUAGCCUUUUACCUCUACAAUCGGAGAGAUUGAGGUCUGCAGCGU
rnacentral:misc_RNA from 1 species